AGAUUUUUUUGUAGAGAUUUCCUUGCAACAUUGGCAAAUGUAAUAUUUAGCAAAUCGGUCAGGCAGGUUGUGUACACUCCUAUCCAUUUUGUCUCACUGUGUUGACGCUUGGCAGGAAGUCCUUUUCUGCGACGAUUACGUAUUUCCAGCAAGUGUGAAAAAGGUCAAUAAUUAGUCUCU